CUUUGUUCUUUCCUCCGUGAUCAUGGUGAAUACUGUCUAAGCCCCGUGAUCCGGGACAGCAGUGAACGUCAGGAAGUCCACCUCCUUUGAAUUCCAGGAAACAGCUCACCUCAAAGGUCCAUCCUCCGUAUGAGUUAGAAAUAAGAGUGCUCUGGUCCAAGAAGGUGAUGUAGGAGACGCUGAAGUCCCCUCCUCCAUGGAGAUACCAAAUCUACACCUAUUUAAAGAACAAUUCCUUCUGAAGCAGAACUAAGUGCUGACUGAACACCUUCUGCGGAAUAGAAGACAGGCCAUGAAGAGAAUGGCAAGAGAGAUGAAGAGAAGGACUUUACUCCUUCUGGUCUUGGCAUGGGCUCUCGGGCCCCACAAGAACUCAGAGCAUGGAGGAUGUCCAUCUGGCACCUGGUGGUCCUGGGGUACGUUUCCUGCACCAAAUGUCUGGUCAUGAGCUUCCUGGCCUCCCACAGGUGAAGAGUUUCUUCCCAGCCUACAGUGCCAUUAUGUUUAGGAAUU